UACGUAGGGUGCAAGCGUUAAUCGGAAUUACUGGGCGUAAAGCGUGCGCAGGCGGUUUUGUAAGUUUUGUCGUGAAAGCCCCGGGCUCAACCUGGGGAAUUGCGAUGAAGACUGCAAGGCUUGAAUCUGGCAGAGGGGGGGUAGAAUUCCACGUGUAGCAGUGAAAUGCGUAGAGAUGUGGAGGAACACCGAUGGCGAAGGCAGCCCCCUGGGUCAAGAUUGACGCUCAUGCACGAAAGCGUGGGGAGCAAACAGG
rnacentral:rRNA from 1 species